rnacentral:rRNA from 1 species
UGUGAACUGCAGGACACAUGAACACCGAUAAGUUGAACGCAUAUGGCGCAUCGGACGUUUCAACUCGACCGAUGCACACAUCCUUGAGU